rnacentral:rRNA from 1 species
UACAGAGGUCCCAAGCGUUGUUCGGAUUCACUGGGCGUAAAGGGUGCGUAGGUGGUCGGGUAAGUCUGAUGUGAAAUCUCGCAGCUCAACUGCGAAACUGCAUUGGAUACUAUCCGGCUUGAGGAAUGGAGGGGAGACUGGAAUACUUGGUGUAGCAGUGAAAUGCGUAGAUAUCAAGUGGAACACCAGUGGCGAAGGCGAGUCUCUGGACAUUUCCUGACGCUGAGGCACGAAAGCCAGGGGAGCAAACGGG